rnacentral:lncRNA from 1 species
UUUGUUUAAGCCUUACAGUAACCCAUAGAGAGAUAGACUGGGGCUGAUCUCCUUCCUUAGGACCCUCCGUGGAGAACUGUAUGCUCCCAGCUCCUAUGACAGUCCCCCAAACUGGACAUUGGCCAGCGCUUCUGCUCUCAGUCAGGCUCAGCUUCCAGGUUUCCCAAUGAUCUUUCUAAAGUACUCUAUUGAAGAAGAGCUUCUUGGAUUUCCCUGGUGGUACAGUGGAUAAGAAUCUGCCUGCCACUGCAGGGGACAUAGGUUCGAUCCCUGGCCCGUGAAGAUUCCACACGCCACGGAGUGACUAAGCCCGUGGGCCACAACUACUGAAGCCCAUGUGGGCCAAGAGCCCAUGCUCUGCAACAAGAGAAGCCACUGCAGUGAGAAGCCCCACACCAGUGAGUCCCAGCGCACUGCACUAGAGCAAGCCUUCACAAAGAAAUGAAGACCCAGCUCAGUGAAAAAUAAAAUAAAUAAACAAACUUAACUUUUAAAAAAA